rnacentral:rRNA from 1 species
CCCGGUAAACGGCGGCCGUAACUAUAACGGUCCUAAGGUAGCGAAAUUCCUUGUCAGGUAAGUUCUGACCCGCAUGAAAGGCGUAAUGAUCUGGGCACUGUCUCAACAGCCCGCCCGGCGAAAUUGUAGUACCGGUGAAGAUGCCGGUUACCCGCGACAAGACGGAAAGACCCCAUGGAGCUUUACUGUAGCCUAAUAUUGGGUUUCGAUGUUGCAUGCACAGGAUAGAUGGGACACAGGGAAACAAGUGCUUUGGCAUUUGUGGAGUGGCCGUUGGGAUACCAUCCUUGCGAUAUUGGAAUUCUAACCUGCGCCUUUGAAUCAAGGCGGGGGACAUUGUUAGGUGGGCAGUUUGACUGGGGCGGUCGCCUCCUAAAGAGUAACGGAGGCGUUCAAAGGUUCGCUCAGCUUGAACGGAAAUCAAGCAAAAGAGUGCAAACGCAGAAGCGAGCCUAACUGCGAGACUGACGGGUCGAGCAGUAACGAAAGUUGGAGUUAGUGAUCCGGUGGUAUGUGAGUGGAAAUGCCAUCGCUCAACGGAUAAAAGUUACCCUGGGGAUAACAGGCUGAUCUCCCCCAAGAGUCCACAUCGACGGGGAGGUUUGGCACCUCGAUGUCGGCUCAUCGCAUCCUGGGGCUGAAUUCGGUCCCAAGGGUUUGGCUGUUCGCCAAUUAAAGCGGUACGCGAGCUGGGUUCAGAACGUCGUGAGACAGUUCGGUCCCUAUCUGUCGUGGGCGCAGGAUAUUUGAUGGGAGCUGUUCCUAGUACGAGAGGACCGGAGCGGACGUACCUCUGGCGCACCAGUUGUUCUGCCAAGGGCAUAGCUGGGCAACUAUGUACGGAUCGGAUAAACGCUGAAAGCAUCUAAGCGUGAAGCCGACCCAAAGAUAAGAUAUCCCAUUGUUUCAAACAAGUAAGACCCCUUGAAGACUACAAGGUUGAUAGGCACGAUGUGUAAGUGGAGUGAUCCAUUCAGCAAGCGUGUACUAAUAGGUCGAGGGCUUGACCAC